rnacentral:rRNA from 1 species
AUUGAACGCUGGCGGCAGGCCUAACACAUGCAAGUCGAGCGAGCGGCGGACGGGUGAGUAAUGUAUGGGGAUCUGCCCGAUAGAGGGGGAUAACUACUGGAAACGGUGGCUAAUACCGCAUACUAUCGGAUGUGCCCAUAUGGGAUUAGCUAGUAGGUGGGGUAAAGGCUCACCUAGGCGACGAUCCCUAGCUGGUCUGAGAGGAUGAACAGCCACACUGGAACUGAGACACGGCCCAGACUCCUACGGGAGGCAGCAGUGGGGAAUAUUGCACAAUGGGCGCAAGCCUGAUGCAGCCAUGCCGCGUGUAUGAAGAAGGCCUUCGGGUUGUAAAGUACUUUCAGCGGGGAGGCGUUACCCGCAGAAGAAGCACCGGCUAACUCCGUGCCAGCAGCCGCGGUAAUUC